rnacentral:rRNA from 1 species
CCUACGGGUGGCAGCAGUGGGGAAUAUUGCACAAUGGGGGAAACCCUGAUGCAGCGACGCCGCGUGAGUGAAGAAGUAUUUCGGUAUGUAAAGCUCUAUCAGCAGGGAAGAAAAUGACGGUACCUGAUUACGAAGCCUCGGCUAAAUAAGUGCCAGCAGCCGCGGUAAUACGUAGGGGGCAAGCGUUAUCCGGCUUUACUGGGUGUAAUGGGAGCGUAGCCGGCAGCACAAGUCUGGAGUGAAAUGCCGGGGCUUAACCCCGGAACUGAUGUUGAAACUGUGCAGCGAGAGUGCAGGAGAGGUAAGUGGAAUGCCUAGUGUAGCGGUGAAAUGCGUAGAUAUUAGGAGGAACACCAG